rnacentral:rRNA from 1 species
UGGGGAAUUUUGGACAAUGGGGGAAACCCUGAUCCAGCCAUCCCGCGUGUGCGAUGAAGGCCUUCGGGUUGUAAAGCACUUUUGGCAGGAAAGAAACGUCAUGGGUUAAUACCCCGUGAAACUGACGGUACCUGCAGAAUAAGCACCGGCUAACUACGUGCCAGCAGCCGCGGUAAUACGUAGGGUGCAAGCGUUAAUCGGAAUUACUGGGCGUAAAGCGUGCGCAGGCGGUUCGGAAAGAAAGAUGUGAAAUCCCAGAGCUCAACUUUGGAACUGCAUUUUUAACUACCUGGCUAGAGUGUGUCAGAGGGAGGUGGAAUUCCGCGUGUAGCAGUGAGAUGCGUAGAUAUGCGGAGGAACACCGAUGGCGAAGGCAGCCUCCUGGGAUAACACUGACGCUCAUGCACGAAAGCGUGGGGAGCAAACAGG